UAGCUUGCUAGGUGGAUUAGUGGCGCACGGGUGAGUAAUAUAUAGAUAACGUGCCUCUUAGUCUGGGAUAGCCAUUGGAAACGAUGAUUAAUACUAGAUAUUCCUUCUAACAAUAAUGUUAGUCGGGAAAGUUUUUCGCUAAGAGAUCGGUCUAUAUCCCAUCAGCUAGUUGGUAGUGUAAGAGACUACCAAGGCAAUGACGGGUAGCGGGUUUGAGAGGAUGAUCCGCCACACUGGUACUGAGACACGGACCAGACUCCUACGGGAGGCAGCAGUGAGGAAUAUUGCACAAUGGAGGAAACUCUGAUGCAGCAACGCCGCGUGGAGGAUGACGCAUUUCGGUGUGUAAACUCCUUUUAUAUGUCAAGAAAAUGACGGUAGCAUAUGAAUAAGCACCGGCUAACUCCGUGCCAGCAGCCGCGGUAAUACGGAGGGUGCAAGCGUUAUUCGGAAUCACUGGGCGUAAAGGACGCGUAGGCGGGAUGCCAAGUCUGAUGU
rnacentral:rRNA from 1 species